GUAUAGAUAGAAACAUUGCUAUCAUUGUUUCUGUUUCUGUCAUUGGGUUGGUGCUGGUGAUUUCUGCAUUACUAGGUUUUUGUUACUAUCGAAGCCAGCAAAAACAUUUACCACUAGCACAUGAACAUGAGAAAGUACCUGAGCUGAAGCUUACGGCGCCCCUUGAGAAGAAUUUAGACCUGGAUGCUAUUAGAGUUGCCACCGACAAUUUUGCUGAAGAAAAUAGCAUUGUUUCUUCCCGAUAUAGAACAGUCUACAAGCCAAAAGACUAAACACAGCAGGAGGACUUGAGGAACUAAAAAAUGAGGUGAAAAUGCUUGCAAGGCUUGACCACCCAAACAUCAUAAGGAUGCUGGGAUCUUGCAUAGGGAGUAACGACAAGGUCAUAUGCUAUGAAUAUAU